rnacentral:rRNA from 1 species
UACGGAGGGGGCUAGCGUUGUUCGGAAUUACUGGGCGUAAAGCGCACGUAGGCGGCUUUGUAAGUUAGAGGUGAAAGCCCGGGGCUCAACUCCGGAAUUGCCUUUAAGACUGCAUCGCUAGAAUUGUGGAGAGGUAAGUGGAAUUCCGAGUGUAGAGGUGAAAUUCGUAGAUAUUCGGAGGAACACCGAUGGCGAAGGCAAUCCCCUGGGCCUGUACUGACGCUCAUGCACGAAAGCGUGGGGAGCAAACAGG